ACUUCCGAAUCUUCAUUGCGCUCUGGAACAUCUUUAUGAUGUUCUGCAUGAUUGUGUUGUUUGGCUCUUGAACGGCAUGGAAGCGUGUACCGGGCGCAGGUGUUCUGUUGUGGCUGGGAAGAGGCUUUCGGCUGGAAACGUGACCGCUUAAAGUAAAAUAUUGCAAUGUUUUCAAAA